rnacentral:rRNA from 1 species
AUUGAACGCUGGCGGCAGGCCUAACACAUGCAAGUCGAGCGGAGCGGGGGAGGGGUGAGUAAUGCUUAGGAAUCUGCCUGGGACUGGGGGAUAACGUUCGGAAAUGGGCGCUAAUACCACAUACUAUCAGAUGAGCCUAGGUCGGAGUAGCUAGUGGGGGGGGUAAAGGCAUAACAUGGCGACGAUCCGUAACUGGUCUGAGAGGAUGAUCAGUCACACUGGAACUGAGACACGGUCCAGACUCCUACGGGAGGCAGCAGUGGGGAAUAUUGGACAAUGGGCGAAAGCCUGAUCCAGCCAUGCCGCGUGUGUGAAGAAGGUCUUCGGAUUGUAAAGCACUUUAAGUUGGGAGGCGUUACCAACAGAAUAAGCACCGGCUAACUUCGUGCCAGCAGCCGCGGUAAUUC